AUCUUGUGCUUCUACAAGGCGGAAUCCCACAGGAUCUCACCAGGCAGAACCCGAGAGCACACCUUGUACCAGUUCCCUGUGCUGGGUGAUGGGGUUAUUGUUGUGGCUAGUAUUGGUCCCAAGCUCACUAAAGAGAAAGAAUGAAACAGGAACAAGCUGAUCUGUUGACCAAGUGCUGCUGCCUAUUGUCUUCAACAAAUGGUGCUGGCAUAAUGGGAUGUCAACAUGUAGAAGACUGCAAAUAGAGGUUAUGUCCCAUGUAGAAAGCUUGUGGAUCCCAAUUCUCUGCCUCAAUUUGGAAGACUACAAGGAACUUAUUGUGAGGACUACUUCAUUCUCUGUUCAGUUACAUUCAGUUUCAACUUCUCACCAUGCCACUUCCUUACAUGCACCGCAGUCACAUGAACUGUCUGACAGAACUCAUGUUUCCAGGGACUCAACUGUGAAAAAGCCCAAAGAUCAUGCCCUUGACCUUUUUCCCUAACUAUCCAAUCACAUCAAGCCCAUGGACUCUACCUACUUCACUUCAUAAAGAUAUUGAGAAAUGAAUCAUGAAGUUUAUAAAAUGAGCGAUUUCCAAAUGGGGGACCAAAUUAAGUGCUCGCAUGGCAUCUCCAGAAAGGUAACAUAAUUUUAUGUGAAUUAUGGACCCAGUUAACAAUUUUUCAAGGUAAAUAUUUUA